CAACGAACAGGACUGACCUAAAUGUACACGCGGACAUCGGCAGUGCUGUCGAGGCCUCCCGUGCUCAACAUGUGUCUGCCUCCACUCUGAAUAUAAACCAUUAUACCAACAGGAAGAGUGCAGCAGAGAGCAUGCUUGAUAUAGCACUGUUAAUGGCUAACGCCUCACAGUUAAAGGCAGUGCUGGAACAGGGGCCCCAGUUCAGCCUAUAUACCCCCCUAAUUACACUGAUCAGUGUCUCUCUGUGUCUGCAAAUACUUGUGGGAGUACUACUCAUCCUUGUAGAGUGAGGUCACACUAGAAUGGGAAAAUCUAGCGACUUUGAACAAAGCAUAAGCAUUGGUGCUAGACAAGCCAGGCACAGUAUUUCAAAAACUGCCAACCUUGUGGGGUUUCCUUGUGCGGUGGUGUCGAGUGCAUACCAAGAAAGGUGUGAUCAAAGAAAAACAUUCAG